GGUUAAGCGACUAAGCGUACACGGUGGAUGCCCUGGCAGUCAGAGGCGAUGAAGGACGUGCUAAUCUGCGAUAAGCGUCGGUAAGGUGAUAUGAACCGUUAUAACCGGCGAUUUCCGAAUGGGGAAACCCAGUGUGUUUCGACACACUAUCAUUAACUGAAUCCAUAGGUUAAUGAGGCGAACCGGGGGAACUGAAACAUCUAAGUACCCCGAGGAAAAGAAAUCAACCGAGAUUCCCCCAGUAGCGGCGAGCGAACGGGGAGGAGCCCAGAGCCUGAAUCAGUGUGUGUGUUAGUGGAAGCGUCUGGAAAGGCGCGCGAUACAGGGUGACAGCCCCGUACACAAAAAUGCACAUACUGUGAGCUCGAUGAGUAGGGCGGGACACGUGGUAUCCUGUCUGAAUAUGGGGGGACCAUCCUCCAAGGCUAAAUACUCCUGACUGACCGAUAGUGAACCAGUACCGUGAGGGAAAGGCGAAAAGAACCCCGGCGAGGGGAGUGAAAAAGAACCUGAAACCGUGUACGUACAAGCAGUGGGAGCCUCUUUAUGGGGUGACUGCGUACCUUUUGUAUAAUGGGUCAGCGACUUAUAUUCUGUAGCAAGGUUAACCGAAUAGGGGAGCCGAAGGGAAACCGAGUCUUAACUGGGCGUUAAGUUGCAGGGUAUAGACCCGAAACCCGGUGAUCUAGCCAUGGGCAGGUUGAAGGUUGGGUAACACUAACUGGAGGACCGAACCGACUAAUGUUGAAAAAUUAGCGGAUGACUUGUGGCUGGGGGUGAAAGGCCAAUCAAACCGGGAGAUAGCUGGUUCUCCCCGAAAGCUAUUUAGGUAGCGCCUCGUGAAUUCAUCUCCGGGGGUAGAGCACUGUUUCGGCAAGGGGGUCAUCCCGACUUACCAACCCGAUGCAAACUGCGAAUACCGGAGAAUGUUAUCACGGGAGACACACGGCGGGUGCUAACGUCCGUCGUGAAGAGGGAAACAACCCAGACCGCCAGCUAAGGUCCCAAAGUCAUGGUUAAGUGGGAAACGAUGUGGGAAGGCCCAGACAGCCAGGAUGUUGGCUUAGAAGCAGCCAUCAUUUAAAGAAAGCGUAAUAGCUCACUGGUCGAGUCGGCCUGCGCGGAAGAUGUAACGGGGCUAAACCAUGCACCGAAGCUGCGGCAGCGACGCUUAUGCGUUGUUGGGUA
rnacentral:rRNA from 1 species